GGGGGUGGGUCCUCCAUCAUAACAACCAAUCAUCUCUAAUUAUAGGUUAGUCUAGUGACUCAAUAUCAGGACUUCAAUUUUUGCAAGCAUGUGGCUUGGGGCAAUGAAUCAUCAUGCUAAUGGCCAAGUUCUAUGACGAAGAAAAUAUGGGAUAAGUAACAUAUGAAAAUGGACGUUGAUACCAUAAGUUUUAAAAAAUCGUAUGCAUUAAUUUCAUAAAUCCACUCCUUCAGAAACAAAGUUGAUGGCCACCAGUGGAAAUUUCAUAAGGAGAUAUUUGCCCAUACAUUUAUGAAAUUUUUGGUUCUGAGUCUGCAUGAUACACAGAUUUUCCUCUUUCCGAUGUCACUUUCUUUCAUUAAAAAAAUAAUCAUCCCACAUUUAAAUAUCUGCUAUCCUAAACUUACUGCUCAACAAACCAUUUCAAUAUGUAGUAACUAAAAAGAUCAUAUUCUAAUAUUCUUAUCCCAGUCAUUCUUUUUUGGCCAAAUUCAUUGCAAUUUGAACGUCUAAAUUAAGUGAAGUUUUUUUUCUAAAAAAAAUCAUAUUUUCAUAUUCCCUUCUGUUAGUAAAACAAAAAAGGGGGGCCAGUUUGGCCAAGCAGUCAGCUUGACUGCUUGGCCAAACCAGCCCCCCUUAUUAUCAAAAAGGAGAAUAGAUGUUCUGAUUCAAAUCAAGAUAAAGACAUUGAGAAAGAGCUACAGACUCCAG
rnacentral:lncRNA from 1 species